UCAGAGGCUUAUUAUACUCACAUUUAGUUGAAUUCAGUCUUAAAAUAUAUUAUAUGGCUCUCACUGAAAUAAAUUUCCAAAUAUUUUGCUUUCAUGGCUCUCUGAGUCAAAAAGGUUCCCGACCCCUGCUCUAUACAUUCUAAAAUGGUGGAAUCAG